UAGGGAAUCUUCCGCAAUGGACGCAAGUCUGACGGAGCAACGCCGCGUGAGUGAAGAAGGUUUUCGGAUCGUAAAACUCUGUUGUAAGAGAAGAACAAAUUGUAGAGUAACUGCUACAGUCUUGACGGUAUCUUACCAGAAAGCCACGGCUAACUACGUGCCAGCAGCCGCGGUAAUACGUAGGUGGCAAGCGUUGUCCGGAUUUAUUGGGCGUAAAGGGGGCGCAGGCUGCUUCUUAAGUCCGAUGUGAAAGCCCACGGCUUAACCGUGGAAGUGCAUUGGAAACUGGGAAGCUUGAGUACAGAAGAGGAAAGUGGAACUCCAUGUGUAGCGGUGGAAUGCGUAGAUAUAUGGAAGAACACCAGUGGCGAAAGCGACUUUCUGGUCUGUCACUGACGCUGAGGCCCGAAAGCGUGGGUAGCAAACAGG
rnacentral:rRNA from 1 species